AGCUGGGAUUAUAGGCAAUAAGGGUUACUUUUAAAUGUUAUCAAAUUUCCAAAUAUUUGAGGAAAUUCUAGGUAUCCUUCUGUUUUUGAGUUCUAGUUUAA